UACGUAGGGUGCGAGCGUUAAUCGGAGUUACUGGGCGUAAAGCGUGCGCAGGCGGUUUUGUAAGUCUGUCGUGAAAUCCCCGGGCUUAACCUGGGAAUGGCGAUGGAGACUGCAAGGCUAGAGUUUGGCAGAGGGGGGUAGAAUUCCACGUGUAGCAGUGAAAUGCGUAGAGAUGUGGAGGAACACCGAUGGCGAAGGCAGCCCCCUGGGUCAAAACUGACGCUCAUGCACGAAAGCGUGGGGAGCAAACAGG
rnacentral:rRNA from 1 species